CAGUAUUGCAGUUCAUAUUGUUCGUGUGCGCGCGUCUCUCAGUCGUUGCACCAAGAAAAUAUUCAACCAAGAUUACAUAUGAAGACUACAUUCUAUGACAGGUGCGUUGACCUAUACACAUCGUGUCGUUAUCACAGUUCAUAUUCAUCUGCUGCACAAUAAUUUUUUACAGAUCAGACGUGACCCGCCGAGUAAUUGGUCCACGUGCAGUUCGUUUUUUACAUUCCGUGGAAGCUUGGUUGUAGAACCUCGGACGGCACAUAGCUGGCGUCGAUCCUAGGACAGUCCAGGUAAGAGUGUCCGUCACAUUUCGAGAACAUUUCAUUCCCUGAAGUUCCAACCAAAAUUCUUCCACCCGUCGUGUUGUUUUCUGGACAGGCACUUUGUGUCCAUUUAAUCCAG